CAAAAGUAUAAUUGUUUAAACGGUAAAUGUGUACAUUUUCGAGAUAUGUAUUAAAGAAGAAAAAGAAAAAAUGCAUGGCAACAAGAUGACGAAGCAAAGGGAACGCCUAAGGGAAAAGAAGAAGAAGAAGAAGAAGAGUAGGAGAAGAAUAAGUAAUAAGAAGAAGAAGAAGAAGACGAGGUCGAGCCCCCAGAUGUCAAUGAUCUCUGACGUCAUUUGUGUGCACGACCUUGGCGAACGAAACUAAGCCCAGAGCCAAAUCUAUCUUUCUAGAUAGUUCCUUUAGUGCUGACCUCGCAUGUUCUUCUCCUAUUGCUGGCAUACGAUGAUGAUACGAACAUAGUUUUAAUCGAAAUUUAAAGGGGAUUUUUUUUUUCUCCAAGUUUCAUUAUUGCAUGCAUACUACUUGUUAUUUCGUAAUUUCAAGAAAAAUCUAAUAAAGAUAAGUACAAUUAAUCAACACAUGGUAACGAUAAGUAACGUGAACAACUAACCAACAAUUCUUGCAAACUUCUUUUAAUAUCUUUUCUUUUAGAUUAUGCUAAAGAUAUAAAAUACAAUGAUGACUCGUUAGAGGACCAAUAUAUUGGCUCAUACAUUCUCACUUGUAUUUUUGCAAAUUGAAAUGAAUUACUAAAGUUAACCAUAAAUGAAUCGUGGAGUGUUCCCAUACAUUUUGGUGAUAUAUAAGGAGACGUUAAAAUACGGUAUGCGUUAGAGCAGGUGGGUUGUUCAGAAAGAGAAAGAGACAAGAAGAAUAAGAAGAAGACAAGGAAGAAGAAAAGGGGGAAUCAUCGGUCGUCGGCCUAUGAAGUCGUUCAACCCAACAACAACGUCGAGGAAGGCUCGGUCUGACGCUACAACACACACGUUGCUUGCUGCUCGGCAGGCAUGAUGCCGAUCGGCCUUGAAUCAGCCGUGCCCGUUUACGGGAACACACCACACAACACACAGUGUGUGUGUGUGUGUGUGUGUGUGUGUGCUGUACCACUGUUGGUUGUGCCAUAUUAACGUGUCGUGUUGUUUUGCCUUGCCCCGCUGAUGUGUUCAUGGGUUCAACCACCACCAACCCAACUAACUUCUCUAUUCACUUCCGAUAAUUCUAAAGAUCGCAGAUUAUAGGAAGGAGAAUGAUGAAUGCUGAAAAAAGCAACGACGACGACGACGACGACAGAAGAGAAAAUAAUUUUGGCCGAUGAUAUAAUCGUGUGACCGUUUCGCAUUGAACGGCCUUGAACCCGGAAUACCCGUUCGAACGAUGAACCUUAACUGGAUGGGGAAGUAGAGAUAAAGAAGUUGCGUGCAUAUUUAAUGUUCUUAUGAACAAAUGUUAAAAAAGAAAAGGGGUUUUUUUUUUCCUUAGGAAUCAUGCGAAUA